CCUACGGGAGGCAGCAGUAGGGAAUAUUGCUCAAUGGGGGAAACCCUGAUGCAGCAACGCCGCGUGGAGGAUGAAGGUUUUCGGAUUGUAAACUCCUUUUGUUAGAGAAGAUAAUGACGGUAUCUAACGAAUAAGCACCGGCUAACUCCGUGCCAGCAGCCGCGGUAAUACGGAGGGUGCAAGCUUUACUCGGAAUCACUGGGCGUAAAGAGCGCGUAGGCGGGAUAGCAAGUCAGAUGUGAAAUCCUAGGGCUUAACCAUAGAACUGCAUUUGAAACUGUUAUUCUAGAGUAUGGGAGAGGUAGGUGGAAUUCUUGGUGUAGGGGUAAAAUCCGUAGAGAUCAAGAGGAAUACUCAUUGCGAAGGCGACCUGCUAGAACAUAACUGACGCUGAUGCGCGAAAGCGUGGGGAGCAAACAGGAUUAGAUACCCUAGUAGUC
rnacentral:rRNA from 1 species